GCAGCCUGAUGCAGCAACGCCGCGUGAGGGACGAAGGCCUUCGGGUCGUAAACCUCUUUUAGCAGGGAAGAAGCGAAAGUGACGGUACCUGCAGAAAAAGCACCGGCUAACUACGUGCCAGCAGCCGCGGUAAUACGUAGGGUGCGAGCGUUAUCCGGAAUUAUUGGGCGUAAAGAGCUCGUAGGCGGUUUGUCACGUCUGCUGUGAAAACUGGAGGCUCAACCUUCAGCCUGCAGUGGGUACGGGCAGACUAGAGUGCGGUAGGGGAGAUUGGAAUUCCUGGUGUAGCGGUGGAAUGCGCAGAUAUCAGGAGGAACACCGAUGGCGAAGGCAGAUCUCUGGGCCGUUACUGACGCUGAGGAGCGAAAGCGUGGGGAGCGAACAGGAUUAGAUACCCUGGUAGUCCACGCCGUAAACGGUGGGCGCUAGAUGUGGGGACCAUUCCACGGUUUCCGUGUCGCAGCUAACGCAUUAAGCGCCCCGCCUGGGGAGUACGGCCGCAAGGCUAAAACUCAAAGGAAUUGACGGGGGCCCGCACAAGCGGCGGAGCAUGCGGAUUAAUUCGAUGCAACGCGAAGAACCUUACCAAGGCUUGACAUACACGAGAACGGGCCAGAAAUGGUCAACUCUUUGGA
rnacentral:rRNA from 1 species